rnacentral:misc_RNA from 1 species
UUAACUAUUAUAUAGUACUCAGACAUCACUAAUAAAAGAGUUUGGGUCCUCUGGCAGGCGCAAUCAGCCGGAGCCGACGCUUAAAAGACGGCCCGCCAAAGCAACAAAGGUAAAAAUAAACAUAGGGUGUAUGAUAUCUCCCUUUCCAAUCCGUUGCGUUUUACGGCAAAGGAUCGGUCCGGUUACAUUAAUGAUCCUUCCGCAGGUUCACCUACGGAAA